rnacentral:rRNA from 1 species
UGGGGAAUAUUGCACAAUGGGCGCAAGCCUGAUGCAGCCAUGCCGCGGGUGUGAAGAAGGCCUUCGGGUUGUAAAGCACUUUCAGCGGGGAGGAAGGCGUUAAGGUUAAUAACCUUGGCGAUUGACGUUACCCGCAGAAGAAGCACCGGCUAACUCCGUGCCAGCAGCCGCGGUAAUACGGAGGGUGCAAGCGUUAAUCGGAAUUACUGGGCGUAAAGCGCACGCAGGCGGUCUGUCAAGUCGGAUGUGAAAUCCCCGGGCUCAACCUGGGAACUGCAUUCGAAACUGGCAGGCUCGAGUCUUGUAGAGGGGGGUAGAAUUCCAGGUGUGGCGGUGAAAUGCGUAGAGAUCUGGGGGAAUACCGGUGGCGAAGGCAGCCCCCUGGACAAAGACUGACGCUCAGGUGCGAAAGCGUGGGGAGCAAACAGG